CCCAUCUCUCAGAAGUCCAGAUAGGGCAUAGCCCCUCACAUCAAGAGGUUGUUCAACUUUAGGAACAUCCUAUUCUUCUCAGUACAAAAAUGGGAUGUCCUAUUACAGACCAGUCUAGGAUUUAAGAGAAGUUAACCCAUGAAUCGUAUCUCUGUACUCUACCAUUCUCAACCCAUAUACCCUCCUGAGUUUGCUGUCUCCUGAGCACCAAGUAUAUACUGUGCUAGAUUUAAAAGAUAUUUUUUCAGUCUGCCUCUUUCCUCAGCUAGCCAGCCUAUAUUUGCCUUCUAAUGGACUGACCCAGCUUCCAAUGAUUCUUGGCAACUCAUUUGGACCUGGCUCCCUCAAGGAUUCAAGAAUGCAACCACUCUGUUCUGUGAGGCCUUCCAGAAGGACUUAUUUGUUGAGUUUUUGAUCCCAUGACCCUAACCUCACCUUGCUUCAAUAUGUGGAAGAUCUGUUGUUAGCUGCUGCCAUUUGUUCAGAAUGCCUUCAGGAAACAAGAGCUCCUACAAUUGCUAGAGGAGUUGGGCUAAUGUGUCUUGGCUAAAAAGGCACAACUCUGUGCUUCCCAUGCAUCGUACCUGUGGUAUGAGACCUCAAAAGGAAGAAAAACUUUGUCUCAGGCAAGGAAAUGGGCCAUUCUCCAGAUACCCAUGCCAACUACCAAGAAACAGGUACAAGAAUUUCUAGGUGCAGCUGGAUACUGUGGCCUCUGGAUACCUGGGUUUGCCAAGAUAGUACAGCCCUGAAAUCAACCCCUAGAGUGGAGAAGAAAAGAAGAAAAGGUGUUCCAGGAUUUAAAACAAGCUCUGGUGUCAGCCCCGACUCUGGUGUUGCCUGGCAUCAAUCACCAAACUGUUCCAACUGUUCACUCAUGAGGUUCUCAGUCUGGCAACACUGAUGCCACAUGAUGACCCCAAUACCCCAAUGCAUGACUGUGAGGAGGUGUUGGACCACACCUAGGGAGGCUGCUCAGACCUAAUGGACAUCCCCCAGCUGAGGCUGACACCACUCUCUUCACUGAUGGAAGUAGCAUGGUGGGAAAGUCCUUAAGUCACAUCUGCAGGGCCCUGUCCUGGCUCCAUGACUUUGAGCAGAAGAAACAGCAAGAAGAGGCCCACUGUCUCCUUGAACCUGAAGCCGGCCCCUCGCCUGAGGGGCAGACUUGCAUCCUGCAAUCUUGUCUUCCUGCCAAGCAUCCCCCACCACUCUGAGACCUACACAAGAGCCAGACUGGGUCACCAAGUUUGUGCAGAGGAAGGAAGGAAGGGACCUGGCAGAGCAAGUGAAGGUGAGGGCUGGGUAGCAUCCUCGAGUCAGUGGAUGCAGAGUCACCUCUGCUGACGGAACCAGCCAUCACUAGUCAAACAGUACCCGAGCAGAGGGGUGAGGAUUAAGAAAGAAAAACACUGACUCAAAGGAAAAGAAAAAGGAGAGAGGAGGAGAGACCUCUCUCCCCACUUUAUUGACCCUUUUAUAUCCUUUCCACAGUUCCCCUCCCCUCCUCACCACAUGAUCAGGUGACUAGUUUACAGAGAAAAGGUCAAGUGUAUCUUUACAAUUCCAGGGAUGUUAUUUCUUUGCUUUGCAGACAUUCAGAUUCUUUCUAUUUUUACUACUCUCUUCACAAGUCAACAUCCUUGUUUUCGUGCCAGUUUCAUAUCCAGGGUUCAUUAUACUCUCAAGAGGCUCAGAGGUCUUUCAAGGUUGUUUCAACCCUUCGCUCUCCACACUCUGCAUCCUUCUGAGCCGUGGUCACCUGUCCUUCUCUGGGCACCACUCCCCAUGCACUGUGUACCCAUGGUUGGCCUUGGUGAUGGGUCUGGGCCCUGGAUGCAAUGGAGGGAGGAGUCUGACCAGGCUGUGGCCCAGGAAGGGAUGCAGACUUCCUGCCCCAGGCAGCAAGGGUGACUUGCCAGUUUGAGGUUCAGAGGGACUCCUGGAACCCUCAUUGCUCUAGAGGAUGGCAGGGUCCCUGCAGGAGUCUCCUCACUGCUGUGUCCCCCCCCCAGGAGAAAGAAGUGAGAGGAGUGGCUGCAGCAGGCCCUCAGGGUGGAUGAGGAUGAGGAAAACCUGGAAGAGGAACACAUCACAAAGGUUAAGAUGCUAAGGCCUAGAUCCUUCUUUGUCGGGCUGCCCUCCACAUGCACACACACACAGUCAUGCACCAUUUUUCUCUUUUCCUGUCCUUGCUCUGAAAUCCCUGAGGAGAGGGAGUGUCCAGCUCAGACUUCAUCUCUUGCUAUGGGAGAUGCAUGGGAGAUGCAUGCCUCCAUAGUGCUCCCGGACAGUGAGGGCCUGCCACAUGAAGACACAGCAGCAGGGACACUGCCUUUCCAAGAUCCUAAACCCUGGCUGAAGGCACAGUUGCAUGGGUGGCUUCCUUUGGUGCCAUGUGAUGCAAGGCAAUGCCAUGUUACUAGGGACCUGCAUUUGCAGCCACCUUCCUUGUUCCCUCAGGCCCUUGAUACUUGAUGUACAGAGAGCAUUUGGGGCUGUUAGCAUCCCCUCUUUGACUUCCCCUUCAUCUGCUCUGAGCAGAUUACUGCAACCAGAUGCUUUUGUCCUUUUGUCCUUGGCUCUAUUGAUAUAGUGUAUUACAUUGAUUGAUUUGCAUAUGUUGAACCAUCCCUGCAUCCCUGGGAUGAAUCCCACUUGGUCAGGGUGUAUGAUCUUCUGCAUUCUAUUUGCCAGUAUCUUACUAAGGAUUUUUGCAUCUAUGUUCAUUAGUGAGAUUGGCCUAUAGUUCUCUUUUUCAGUUGGGUCUUUCUCUGCUUGAACAAAGCAUUCUUGCAAGAAGUGAAUCUUAGGUUAAUGGGAACUUGUUCUUUCCCUUAUAUUAAAAUUAACUUCUUAUACAGGUUGAGCAAGAACCAUGGGCUUUUCAGCUGUAGAUACUCUCAGCUAAUACAGGCCCCACAGAGCCAUUAACCUGGGUUGGUCUCAGCCAUGGCCAGUGGCAGUUACAUUCUCUUUCUGCACACUAGCUGCAGCCAUUAAGCUGUGCACUUAUGCCUUAGACUAGUUCUGAAUUAAACCAAUUGUAUCUGCCAGUUGAAUAUAAUCAAAGCCAUGUCAAUACCAUCUUAAGGUAAUCUCCUUCAUGAGAUAUUCAGGAAGUAGUACUUCAAUCCUGGCCUUUAUUAAUAAUCCCUGUGAGCAGCAAUAUCCCUCACUGCACUUAGAAGUGUAUGUGAGACACUUCUAAGCUACUGUUCAAAUAGGGUUAGUUAGGUCCGGGGAUUUAGCUCAGUGGUUCCAACCCCUGCCUCGCAAACUCAAGGUCCCAAGUUCGAUCCCUGGUACCACAAAAUAAAACCCAAAGGCAGAACAAGGAAAACUAUCAUUACUCCUAAUGAACAUGAAUGCAAAUAGGGUUACUUAUUAAAUACACUUAACAUGUAAAUGAUGAUGAUGUGUUGUAAUAAUAAGAUUACUGAUUUAUUUAACCCUAAGUUGUCUGAAAUUAAAAAAUAUUAUUGUGUUAAUUAUGAAUAAAGUCAUAAACAGAAAAAACAUUUGAUUCAACAUAAAGUUUAUCUUAGGCAUUAGCUAUCUAAUUCUAAAUGACGACAGCUGUAUUUCUCUCAUUUUUAGUAAUAAACUAAAAUUUGUGUAUUAAAUGUGACAUGGCUAUAUUAUAAAUUUAGAUGUGUGUUUUUCUGAAG
ensembl:lncRNA